rnacentral:lncRNA from 1 species
AAUGUAUGUGUUGGUCUUUCUACCUUUUUUUUUUACAAUGGGUAUACUUUUUACAAGGAGAGCAGAGAAUGCAAAGCGGUAAGUGCGCAGAUCUUUAACGAAAGUAGGGAGAACUUAGGUCUCAAGCAGGCAGGUGUAAAAUUGUUCAGGAUUGAGAGAUUAGGAAGUUUCUUGAUCUUUGUGCUUGCAGCGAACGCUUCAAGCUUUAAGAAAAGGAGGGAGUAUACGAUACCUACUAAAAACCAGGUCACUGGAAUGCAGGCAAGACAGAUGAUAAACCAUUCUAAAAAUGAAGAGCUCCCCCUAAUAGACCAAUGUGAAACAUAUGUGAAAAAGUUAGUGGCGAACAAAAUACACAAUUUUAAUUUCAUCCAAUUUUGAGAAUAUACCAAAGAAUAUAAUAUUUACCUCAUGGGUGCAUGCAUGUUUUUUU